rnacentral:rRNA from 1 species
UAUGUGAUCGUCUCUCGCAUAUCAAUAAGCGGAGGAAAAGAAACUAACAAGGAUUCCCCUAGUAACGGCGAGUGAAGCGGGAAGAGCUCAAAUUUGAAAUCUUAAAGGGUUUCCCUUUACGAAUUAGUAGUUUAAAGAAGUGUUUUCUGUUGAGGUUUUGGUAAAAGUUCUUUGGAAUAGGACAUCAUAGAGGGUGAGAAUCCCGUAUUCGACCUUUACUUUCAACUUUGUGAUACACUUUCAAAGAGUCGGAUUGUUUGGGAAUGCAGUCCAAAAUGGGUGGUAAAUUUCAUCUAAAGCUAAAUAUUGGCGAGAGACCGAUAGCGAACAAGUACCGUGAGGGAAAGAUGAAAAGAACUUUGAAAAGAGAGUUAAACAGUACGUGAAAUUGUCAAAAGGGAAGCGUUUGACACCAGUGUUGUUUUUCUGAAAAUCAAUUAAAGAACUGUUUAUGCUAAGCUGUUUAGACUUUAUCAGCUAACUGUUUAGUUUUGAGCUUUUCUUUAAUGCACUUUUCAGUUAACAAGUCAACAUCAAUUUCUUUUGCUGUAAAAAAGCUUGAGGAAGGUGGCUUGAGAUUCGUCUUAAGUGUUUAUAGCCUCUUGCCUAUGCAGUCGGAGAGAUUGAGGUCUGCAGCGUAGAUCCUUCGGGGCUAAAUGCAUUUGUGCUAAGUUAUAGCAUUUUAUAGACAACUUGUUGACUAUGAUUUGUCUUGUAGCUUACUCGCUUAUGUUAUUUUACCUACGCUUAGGAUGUUGAAGACUCUACAGAGAUA